rnacentral:rRNA from 1 species
ACCUUCGGGUCUAGUGGCGCACGGGUGCGUAACGCGUGGGAAUCUGCCCUUGGGUUCGGAAUAACGUCGGGAAACUGACGCUAAUACCGGAUGAUGACGAAAGUCCAAAGAUCUAUCGCCCAGGGAUGAGCCCGCGUAGGAUUAGCUAGUUGGUGAGGUAAAGGCUCACCAAGGCUACGAUCCUUAGCUGGUCUGAGAGGAUGAUCAGCCACACUGGGACUGAGACACGGCCCAGACUCCUACGGGAGGCAGCAGUAGGGAAUAUUGGACAAUGGGGGCAACCCUGAUCCAGCAAUGCCGCGUGAGUGAUGAAGGCCUUAGGGUUGUAAAGCUCUUUUACCCGAGAUGA